UACGUAGGGGGCAAGCGUUGUCCGGAAUCAUUGGGCGUAAAGAGCGUGUAGGCGGCCCGGUAAGUCCGUUGUGAAAGUCAAAGGCUCAACCUUUGAAAGCCGAUGGAUACUGCCGGGCUGGAGUCCGGAAGAGGCGAGUGGAAUUCCUGGUGUAGCGGUGGAAUGCGCAGAUAUCAGGAGGAACACCAAUAGCGAAGGCAGCUCGCUGGGACGGUACUGACGCUGAGGCGCGAAAGCGUGGGGAGCGAACAGG
rnacentral:rRNA from 1 species